AUUGAACGCUGGCGGCAGGCCUAACACAUGCAAGUCGAACGAGCGGCGGACGGGUGCGUAAUGUCUGGGAAACUGCCUGAUGGAGGGGGAUAACUACUGGAAACGGUAGCUAAUACCGCACACCAUCAGUAGUGCCCAGAUGGGAUUAGCUAGUAGGUGGGGUAACGGCUCACCUAGGCGACGAUCCCUAGCUGGUCUGAGAGGAGGACCAGCCACACUGUAACUGAGACACGGUCCAGACUCCUACGGGAGGCAGCAGUGGGGAGUAUUGCACAAUGGGCGCAAGCCUGAUGCAGCCAGGCCGCGUGGGUGAAGAAGGCCUUCGGGUUGUAAAGCACUUUCAGCGGGGAGGCGUUACCCGCAGAAGAAGCACCGGCUAACUCCGUGCCAGCAGCCGCGGUAAUAC
rnacentral:rRNA from 1 species